GGCGAGAUAGUACAAUGGAUAGUACUUCUCCAAUUAUAGGAAGAAGACCUGGGUUCGAUUCCCAGUCUUGCCU
rnacentral:tRNA from 1 species